GCCACACACCCACAGCUUCCUGCCAGACACUCACCACCAUGACAGCCUGAACAAGGCCUAGCGAGGCAUGCCUAAGCCUAGGUGAAGCUGAUCCUACGAGGGGAAGGUAAUGAUGGAGUGUGUGACCGGCAUGGCCAAGACGCCCCCCGGCCCUUGGUGUUCCUCCAGCAUCACACCCGCCGCCCCGCGGGGCUGCUGGGCACCUUACUGAGGAUGACGGAAGACAUGCCCCAGAGGAAGACGUCAGCCAGGAAUCCCCGCGCGGUCAGCCUCUUGCUGGGGGUGCGGCAGCGGCAGCAACCGAUGGCAAGUCUGGAGAAGCAGGGUGAGAUGGAGGUGUGGCCAGGCCUGUACGCACACCUCACCUCCCAGCUGAUGGCCCUGGUGCAGGGGAAGGUUGUGCU